AGUGAACGCUGGCGGUAGGCCUAACACAUGCAAGUCGAACGGCAGCACAGUAAGAGCUUGCUCUUACGGGUGGCGAGUGGCGGACGGGUGAGGAAUACAUCGGAAUCUACUUUUUCGUGGGGGAUAACGUAGGGAAACUUACGCUAAUACCGCAUACGACCUACGGGUGAAAGCAGGGGAUCUUCGGACCUUGCGCGAUUGAAUGAGCCGAUGUCGGAUUAGCUAGUUGGCGGGGUAAAGGCCCACCAAGGCGACGAUCCGUAGCUGGUCUGAGAGGAUGAUAAGCCACACUGGAACUGAGACACGGUCCAGACUCCUACGGGAGGCAGCAGUGGGGAAUAUUGGACAAUGGGCGCAAGCCUGAUCCAGCCAUACCGCGUGGGUGAAGAAGGCCUUCGGGUUGUAAAGCCCUUUUGUUGGGAAAGAAAAGCAGCAGGUUAAUACCCCGCUGUUCUGACGGUACCCAAAGAAUAAGCACCGGCUAACUUCGG
rnacentral:rRNA from 1 species